rnacentral:rRNA from 1 species
UCCUUAGAUGUUCUGGGCCGCACGCGCGCUACACUGAUGCAUUCAACGAGUCUAAAACCUGCUCUGAUAGGGGUGGGUAAUCUUUUGAAUGUGCAUCGUGAUUGGGAUAGAUGAUUGCAAUUUUUCAUCUUCAACGAGGAAUGCCUAGUAAACGCAAGUCAUCAGCUUGCAUUGAUUACGUCCCUGCCCUUUGUACACACCGCCCGUCGCUCCUACCGAUUGAAUGAUCCGAUGAAUAUCAUGGAUUGAGGAUGUAAGCAGGUUCGCCUGUCUUCAUCUUCGAGAAGUGAAGUAAAUCUUAUCAUUUAGAGGAAGGAGAAGUCGUAACA